GGGAAGGACUGCUAACCGGGGCUGGCGGAGGGUUUGCUUGGAGCCGGGGGUUUGUAGGGAAAGGACCGCCGGCCCGGCACAAUUUGCCCGACUUCAGAGGAGACUGGAGUCUGGCUCCGUUUCUGCAGAAGCCUUGAGAGAGGCCAGCACCUCGCGGGAAGACCCAUUUCCCCUGGAGGAAGGAUCUGGACCUCUACAGUCGGGUCUUUCCCCGACACCCACCUUUCGUCCAGGCCGGACCAAACGGGUCCCUCUGAACGUCCGGGUCUUCCUCCCGCCCUCCGUCGUCCUACGUCGGGCCUCCGCUCAGGGUAAAAUUAGGUUGCUUCUCUCACUUCCUGACCCCUUGCCCAGUGCUUCCACUCGCGACGCUGACCCCCACCAACCGGGUAUCCAGCGUAGUUUCAAUGGCAAGAUCUGUGCAGUUCCAGCCGCACCCAGAGAGCCCUCCCAGAGAGCUGCGGUAAAUACAAACCUGUGGUCUGGGCUGUGUCCUUGUGUCUAGGUGAGAAAAUAAGACUGGCGUGCAUAAAAACUAAGAGCCGCCUGAGAACUGCUCAGCGAACGAGGGCAGAGCCCAGGAACUCGAGCACAGGUUCUGGCAAAGCUGGACACAGACCUGUGAUGGGCGGACCCGAGAAGGGAAGAUGGAAAGAGCCCCUCUCAGACCCAGUACAUUUGCUGGGAUGAAGCUAUUGGCCCAUCCUUUCCGAAGCCCAAAGCCCGUGCUUGGACCCGCUCUAGCAUGGGUUGGGGCUUGAACCGGUGCCUGGGGGUACCUGGGCAAGCUACUUAGCACACUACCUCAACGGGGAUUAUAGUAACACUGCCCACCAGGGCUUGGUGGAUAAAAUCUUGCGCUAGGAUCUGGCCCUCUCACUCCACCAGGAGCACCCCCAGGACAUGAAUAGCCCCAGCAGUACCUUUCGAAAUGGAUGUAUUGGGUGUAGAAAAACACCACGGGGCCUUGCGGCAGACGGUAUGAAAAGGUCUCUGCACAGCCUCUGACACCCUUUACCGGUGAGGAAAGUGAAAUGCAGAGACGUUACGUAACUUGCCUUGGAUCACACAAGCUCGUCUGUCUGUGGCAGAGAAGAAUUUGAACCAAAGCAGCCUGGCUCAGAGCUUGAGUUCUUAACUGCUUAUGCUUACUUGUUGUUUUUAUUGCUGCAUUGUUUCUGUGUUUGUUUUUAUCAUUUGCAGAAUACGUAUGGUUGAAUUUGCACAAGUUAAUUUUGAAUACAAUGUGACUCUAACAAGGAAAAAUUGGAACUAAACUAAAUGCCCAUCAAUAAAAGCAAAAUUAGAACAAAUGAUAGCAUGUCCUUACUGUGGAGCACCAUUAAAAAGACUGGGGUAGAUCUGUAUGUAUGUAGAACAUGGGAAGGUGUUGUUAAUCUUAAAAAUAAAACUGUGUUUCAUUUGGGAAUAGCACAGAAUUGCAAUCUGGGACAAGCAAGCUACAGCAAAACCGUAGGUAAAUGAUCAGCUCUUUGAGGGAAGAUAGACUGUAUCUUCAAUUUCCAUCUCUCCCACCAGCACCUAGCACAGUGGUGAACACAGCAGAUGCUUAGUGAGUGUUACUCACGUGCAGCUCUUCCUCGACUUACGAUGGGGUUACAUCCCCAUAAACCUAUUGUAAGUUGAAAAGAUUAUAAGUCAAAAGUGCAGUUCUGUGCCUAACCCAGCAUCACGCUUAACCUGGCCUACCGUAUACGUGCUCAGAACACACAUUCACCUACAGUUGGGCAAAACCAUCAAACACAAAGUGUAUUUUGUAAUAAAGUGUUGAGUGUCUUGUGUACUUUGUUGAGUCCUGUGCUGAACGUGAAGAGCAGCAUGGCUGUCAGGUGAUGGGUUGUGAUUGUGUGGCUGACCGGGAGAUACACUCAUUGCUGUCGCCCAGCAUUAUGGGAGAGGACUGUCCCAUGUGUCCCUAGCCCGGAAAGAUCAAAGUCCAAAAAGCAAAGUACAGUUUCUACUGAAUCGUAUUGCUCUCACCCUAUGGUGAAGCCAGAAAACAGUAACUGAAACCAUCGUUAAGCAGGUACUGCCUGCACGAUUACCUUCUAGAAAUACUUAUUAGAAGUCCUGGUUCCCUGAUUGCUCCACAAGUUUCAAGAUGACUCUAUUCCUGGCACAUUACAAGAGUACAUAAACAGAUUGUCAUUGCUGGGGACCGCAUAUGCCCUUCCCAUGAUAUGAAGACAGCAGCAGUCAGGAAGGGACUGCCUUUCCUGGAGAGGACAUGACCAAGAGGGCCUUCCCAUUAGGCCAAAGAGACUGCAGCGAGAGGGGAAAGAAUGAGUUUUGUGGAACUGCUCCAGCGAGUGUGACAGCCUGCGUGGCCACCAGCUGAGAAGAAGAAAGCUGUGAGCCCCAAGGAGGCUCGUUCGUAGAACAAGGAUGUGUAGAGAAAGCACGCGGUGCCCAAAGAGAGAUGAGACUGGGGAGGAAGCCAGCUGCCCAACAAGCUUUCCCAUGAACCAACAACAGGCACUAAACUUUAUGCAGAAAAGGCCUGUCUCUCUUCCUGAACUACAUUACUUAUAUCAAUUCUAGCAACUUAUGCAACCUGGAGAGGGGUUGGUAGUGAUGCUGAGCUGAAGAAUGCACUUCGCAAACACUCAAGGUGCGUCCCCCUUGGCCGACUCUUCCAGGACCUGGUUCCUGCAAGGCACACGGCUUCUGCAGCGUCAAUAUCAGCGAUUCCCAGCAGCAGGCAGCUUCCCUGGGUACCCUUGGGGAAGCUUCCUGGGGGUUCUGCGGCCUGUAAGGCACUGACCUGUGGACAGCCACCCCUGGCAUUCUCCCGUGACUUUGGGGCAAGUUCUGAGGCAUGACACCUCCCUGGGGAGGGUUCCUCUGGCACCCCAAGGAGCAGACUUCCAGCAAGUUCUGCCAAGCUGGCACCUCAGUGACUUCUCUGCUGUGCAACGAGCCAAGCUCUCCAUUGAGGUCUGAACGUCAGCCCUGAAGAGGAACCCCUUCCAUGCAUUCUCUGCCUUGCCCAGAUGGACAACCGCUCCCUGCUCCUGCACACCUCCAUUCCCUGCCAAUCCCCCUUGCUUCUUUCUGGCUAACCCCUUAUUAUUUCAAUCCCCUGUUAAAGUGAAUUACAUUAAAUUCCUUGU